rnacentral:rRNA from 1 species
CCCUUAGAUGCUCUGGGCCGCACGCGCGCUACACUGAUGCAUUCAACGAGCCUAGCCUUGACCGAGAGGUCCGGGUAAUCUUUGAAACUGCAUCGUGAUGGGGCUAGAUUAUUGCAAUUAUUAAUCUUCAACGAGGAAUGCCUAGUAAGCGUGAUUCAUCAAAUCGCGUUGAUUACGUCCCUGCCCUUUGUACACACCGCCCGUCGCUCCUACCGAUUGAGUGUGUUGGUGAGGAGUUUGGAUUGGCCUCGGAAGGUGGUUCGCCACCGUCCGUAGCUGAGAAGUUCUCCAAACCGCCCCACUUAGAGGAAGGAGAAGUCGUAACA